CUUUGGAAACGAGGUUGCAAAAUCUCAAUGUUUUGUCCUUAUGCUAGGAGGGUUAAUACCUUUUCUUGUUCAGUGACCUAGAGUUCAAGCCUGUUGGAAUGUUGGAAGCGAAACUUGUCCAAGCAAUUUCGAUUAACUAAAGGGUUUAUUUGCCAGCAUUCUUAUUCUAAAUUUCGUGCUGCAUGUGUCAUAUUGCAGGUGAAGGAAAAGAUCUAAAAUUGGUGGACACCCCUGUUUCUAGUCGUGUUAAAAGAGCUGCUGAGGGAAGUCGAUGACUUCUCAUAUGAUGUGGACAGGCUUUAAGAGUUACGGACUUAUUAAUGUGCAACAAGAAGAAUCUUAUGGUGAUAUAUCGUUGAAGUUGACUCCUACAUUUUCAGAGGCACAAAUUUGGUUUCACUUAUAAAUGAGGUCUUGGACCAAGCGAAAAUUGAAUCUGGUAAGAUUGAGAUUGAGGCUGUGCAGUUUGAUCUAAGGGCCAUAUUGGAUGAUGUCUUGUCCCUCUUCUCGGGGAAAUCUCAAGAAAAAGGAGUGGAGCUAGCAGUUCACAUUUCUGAAAAUGUUCCGCAGAAGUUGAUUGGUGAUCCGGGGGAGAUUUCGGCAGAUCAUCACAAAUCUUAUGGGGAACUCAGUUACAGUAAGCUAUUUAAGAGUGGUUCACACAUUUUCUGAGAACUUUGUUUUUGAAUCUCAAGCCGCCAUUAUAAUUCUUGAUCUUCCUUCAUGGAAGGAAAAUUGUACUUGUUAUCAUCUUGAUAUAUAAAAAUAUUGCCAAUGACUUGAUCAUUCAGGAGGUCACAUGGAUUGGCUCCUACGUUACAAUAUUUACAAUCUAUCCCGCAUCCAUGUAAUCUAAAUAGCUAAUGUAUCUAUUAUGGUUUUCCCUACC